CUUCACAAAGUCAUCCUUUGCCCUAAUCUCACUAUACAGAUACAGUGAUGUAUAUAUUUCAUCAGUUUGAAUUUUCCUUUGAUUUCAUACUAGUUUUCUCUGGACACAAACACACCCCUUUUAGAGGAAAACUUUGAUUCUAAAAACCAUGUCUUUGAGCCCUCCUCGUGAAAGGAAUAAUGGCGACAGAACCUACCAGUUUUACUGGUGUUAUCAGUGCAAUAGGGCGGUCAGGAUUGCGUCCGACAACCCGUCACAGAUUAUCUGUCCUCGCUGUCUGGGUCAGUUUCUACAAGAAAUUGAUACAACCAGGCCUAGGGCUUUCAAUGAGAUUAUCACUUGGGAUCCAUUCCCAGAAGCCCGUUUAUUGGAAGCACUUUCCCUGGUGCUUGAUCCACCUCUCAGAGGCCUAAAUAAUGGUGUUGGUAGGGGUGAUGAGGCUGAAACAGAAGCGGCUAGAAACAGAGGCAGGAGAUGGUUGAGGAGGCGAAGCCACUCCAGAGAACAUUGGGAGGCGGAAGCUGAUACUGGAGUCCCUGGACGGCGGCGAAAUAAUGAAUUGGGAGGGAGACUGGGGUGGCCCUUUGGUAAUGGGUUGGGAGCUCAGGGUAGGACUUGGAUUGUCCUGAGGCCCACCGGUCCUCCUGGCCAAAAUGGACCCUUUCCCCAGUCAGAAAACAUGAGACCGCCAAGGUUUGAGCUCAGGGAUUUCUUCUCUGGACCAGGGCUAAAUGAAUUGAUCGAAGAACUCACCCAAAAUGACAGACCGGGUCCUCCUCCUGCUCCUGAUUCCGCCAUCAAUGCAAUGCCCACCGUGAAAAUUACGCCCACGCAUUUGAUUAACGAUUCGCAUUGCCCCGUUUGCAAAGAGGAGUUUAAGGUUGGUGAGGAAGUGAGAGAGUUGCCCUGCAACCAUGUUUAUCAUUCAGACUGUAUCGUUCCAUGGCUGCAGCUUCACAAUUCAUGUCCAGUUUGCCGGCAUGAGGUUCCGGUUCCUUCUGAUGAGUCUGAUGAGAGUCAUGAGGGAGAGGAUCGGCGGGUGCGGUGCAUGAGGUUGAGACAGUUGGCGUCUUUGUGGCCCUUCCGUUCUAGGUACCGCCGAAUUAAUCCCCAGGAUCGUGACGUUACUCCUCACAGAGCAGCUAACAUACAGUGGCCUUCUUGCUCUAUUCUUUAGCCCAUUAAUGCUGCUGCUCCUGAUACAAGCAGUUUAUCGACUCUUAUGAUUCAAACAUUUGUUAAUUAUGAUCAUGACCCCGAGAUCCAUCCGUGACUUGUACCAUCGGCCAUGCCACACGUGGGGAGAUCAAGCUGAAGAGAAUCGCCAAAACAUUGGUCAAGCAAGUAACUGAGGAUACCAUGCUGCGGCAAAUUCGCGCUGAUGCAUAUCCAAAAAGUGGCCCCUGAGGCCUUUAGUCUGUAAAACUGCUCUAUGCUUGUACUAAGUGGACCAUAUCUACAAGGCCAACUGAUCAAAUAAACAUGACAGGAGUGGUUUUAAAGGUGA